UUUAUUUAAAAUAGUCAGGAAUAUGCCAUACUAGAUACUGGUCACUGUUACAAUUACAGAAAAAAUAAAGGUGCUGUAGAUUUUUACCACCACACACCCUGCCAUGACAUAGCUAUUAAUGUCCAUUCACAUGCUCUGUAUUCUCCUUUUUCUGAUGCUGCAUGGAUUUCCCAGUUUUAUACACAUUGGGUAAGUUGUGCAGUGUGCCAUUUUUUAAGAUUCAUUUUUAUCAUGCUGGAUUCUAUAAAAAAAUUUUCAGGGCAAUAUAUGGCUUAAUUAAUCAAACAGUUUAAGGCCUAUCUUAUUUAUGAGCAGUUGUUUGGGGUAAUUUACAAAAAAUGUACCAAAAAAACAUUUCUUAUCUGGGGGAGGUACAAAGGCUCCGAAAUUUGUAUCAUGGGCUUUUUAAAAUGCCCCACUUAUCCCUAAGACAUAGCAGAAGGAAGCAUACUUUAUCUGCCAAUAUUAUAAACAAAUAUAGUCCAUUUAAGAAGAUUAUACCAUGAUUGAUUUACAAUAUGUUGCACUUGAACAGAUAAAUUAUGCUCUGAAGUAUUUUGUCCCUGCACACUGUAUUUUGCCCUAGGAAAUGUAUUAUAAACCUGACUUGACUCUUCUUUCUACAUUAUUUACUGCAACUCCUAAUGCCCACAUGUUUGAUCCAUAUACUGUAUUUAUAUUACAGAGCUCUCAAACCAGGCAAAAUUCUUCUGGACAAAGAAGGCCAUGUCAAAAUCGCGGAGACCAAACCAUUGCUGGAUAUGCAGGGACGCCUGGAUACAUGGCCCCAGAGAUCCUGCUGAAGAAGGAAUACAAUGCUGGGGUGGACUGGUGGUCCAUUGGAAUUGUCAUCUGUGAAAUGGCCAUCGGCAGAUCCCCAUUUUACAAUGGUAACGAUAAGAAGAGAAUCUGGUAUUCCACCAUCCGUGAUAAACUUGAACUCCCAGACUGGCUGAGCACAGAAAUGUCGGAUCUCAUUUGAAAGCUCCUGAAGAAAGAUCCUGUCAAACGUCUGGGUGUUAAUGGAAACAUUCGAGAGCACCCUGCUUUUUCAACAAUUAACUGGGAGGAGCUGGAAAAUAAGCAAAUAGCACCACCUUUCAAAUUUACAAGAGUAAGUAUAUUCCCAAAAUAUAUAAUGGGCUAGUGACACAACAAUUUUUAGCCUCCAAGCUAUAUUUCUGCAGGACCAUUGAUGCUCUUCUGUUAUUCAGCCAUUACUUUGCUUUCUAAUAGCAACAGAGGCAAGUUGUAAUUAAUUGUAUUAGUCAAAUGAGCAGAUUCGUAUUAAUAAUACAAGAAAGCAGUUGUUGAAGGACUGGAGCUGGUUGUGAGCAAUUCUAGGCUUCCGGAAUGUAAGUAUCACUAGCUCAGCAUGUCCUGCUAGAUCACAAUUAACAUUU